ACUAAAGAUAUGAUCACAUGCACCUAGCUUUGUGAUGGUUUUACAAGUAGGCCUAUACAUGUGCAAUUGAAUCCAAGCUUCUUAUGGAUAAGUUGAUGUUACGUUGAUGUCUUCGCGUAUUCGCAGAUAGAACGAAACUAAGGAGUUUUCUUUUAAGUCUGCCCAGUUGUCAAGCCAAACCAGCGAGAGAAAUAAGAUGGGCGUAACUCUAAAUGGAUCAUGCACGCAGACUUUGGAACAAUAACUCAUCAAUUCACGACGGGACGUCGUUUAAGCGCGAGCUGCUUGAGUUUCUGCACAUGUCCACGCGCGGGGACCAGCGACAGACUCGAUCAUAGCAGUCCUCGGAUAGUAGCACAAGAUACUUGCCAAGAAUUUGGAUAACAGGCUGUGCACUUGAGCGUCAGAUCACUCAAGCCAAAGUCAAUGGCUGUUUGUCACUAACUGACAUCAGUACCUUUCGCGUUGCUCUUUAUAGUGACGUAGUUGCGAGUUAACGCGAUUCUCGGGCAUAGUUCGUGGUUUUUAAACAAAUGCACUGCUGCAAAGACCUCUGCCUUUACGAGUUUUUGAUAUCUGCUUGUGGAUUAGAUAUGAUUAUGCUGUUAUGGAUCACCUCAGGUUUGGCACUCAAAGAUGACGGGUCAUCAUCGUCCACUAAAAGGAAAAGGAGAUUUUGUAAAUCAGUGAGAAAACACGUAAAUCAACGGCCCUCAGAUCAGGAGACGGAAGACGAGCGGAGAGUGGGAGUAGCGAUAGUGGUGGAGGAGUGAACCCGGAGCAGGU
rnacentral:lncRNA from 1 species